rnacentral:lncRNA from 1 species
AUGUAUUCUUGUUUUGGUUUGUUUUUUGUGCGCUAUUUUGUUUUGUUGUUGGCUACAUUCUGCAUAGUGCCAAAACAGCCAUCAUUGAGCCUAGUAUGGCUGUUCUAAACCUGUUGGUGCUCUCGCCAUGUGCAUGUUGGUGCCGGGCAUGGCUGGCUCUGCCAAAACAACGGGAGGCAUCCGUCCGCAGCUAUGAUGGGCCCACGCUACGUGCUCCAUCCUUUAAACAGAGGCGGAUGCUCUUCCUCGUGUCUCCUGCACAAGGUGAGACAGACAGAAGGAAUAUGUGGCUCUCACUCUAUUCCUGCUGUCUCUUUCAGAUUGGCCCGAAGGACUGAGAAAUUGAUCGUGCAAGCACUGCGGUAGCCAAUUUUGAGUAUCGAGACUCGCAUGGGAGUAAACCUCCAGGUAUGUGCAUAUGUGUAUUUCCAGUUUUUGUUUAUUGACGUGAAUCCUCUUGCAGAAUCCUCACUCAUAUUUUGGCAAUAACGUAUUCGGAGAAGGAUGAGCAUAGCUGUCCAGCAAAGUAGUAGCUCUAGAAGCUCCAAGAUUUGUAUUGGUGCUGAUCUUAUCAAUGGGAUAAUCCAUCAUACAUAUAACAAAGGAUUAUCAAUAUAAAAAACGAAUUUAAAAUAGAUCGUAUCACAGCGGAACCAAAAAGCAAUGUUAACAGAUUAUGUUUUCUGUACAUUCGAUGCUCAAAAUGGAACAAGAAAAUAGUCAAGUAGAAGAAUUUGAAUUGUUACUUAUCCGUUUACAACCAGUCUUUUGUUGAGCACACGUCAUGAUAUGUAAAUAGUUUUUGGUACAUUAUAAUAAUGGAAAUAUGUAGAUAAAAACAUAUGGAUUAUGAAGAUUUAGAUCAGACUUGUGAAUCAGUCUAAAAUAUCACUCGUACCUACUCAAUGGAUUUUUCUGAAGCAUAAUCCACUAUUUCAUGCAAAUGUAAAAACACAACGAAAUUCCUUUCCAAAUCUUGUUCAUAUGUAC